AUGUACUCUAUCAUCUUCUCAAAAGCUUCCAUGCUAAGAUCGUCGAUCUCGAGUCUAUCGGAGUAAAAGAAGUGAACAAGGCUGUAAAAUGCAGGGUAAGAUAACUUUUCUCUCGAGAAUCUUAUUUCUUUACGGUCCCUCCAAUCGGUUUCGAACUUUUUCUUGAAGUAGGGUGACCUGGCACUCAAGAUUACUCUAUGAGCUUCGAUUGGUCUUCCAUGAAGAUAAAAUGUAACGUCUGGAGGGAAAUAGCUGGGACUGGUUCCUCCGUUAGACA
rnacentral:lncRNA from 1 species